rnacentral:rRNA from 1 species
CUACGUGCCAGCAGCCGCGGUCAUACGUAGGAUCCGAGCGUUAUCCGGAGUGACUGGGCGUAAAGAGUUGCGUAGGCGGUUUGUUAAGUGAAUAGUGAAAUCUGGUGGCUCAACCAUACAGGCUAUUAUUCAAACUGGCAAACUCGAGAGUGGUAGAGGUCACUGGAAUUUCUUGUGUAGGAGUGAAAUCCGUAGAUAUAAGAAGGAACACCGAUGGCGUAGGCAGGUGACUGGACCAUUUCUGACGCUAAGGCACGAAAGCGUGGGGAGCGAACCGGAUUAGAUACCCGGGUAGUCCACGCCGUAAACGAUGGAUACUGGCUGUUGGAGGUAUCGACCCCUUCAGUAGCGAAGCUAACGCGUUAAGUAUCCCGCCUGUGGAGUACGGUCGCAAGACUAAAACAUAAAGGAAUUGACGGGGACCCGCACAAGCGGUGGAUCGUGUUCUUUAAUUCGAUGCUAAACGAAGAACCUUACCAGGGCUUGACAUCCAG